AUUGAACGCUGGCGGCAGGCCUAACACAUGCAAGUCGAGCGGAUGAAGGGAGCUUGCUCCUGGAUUCAGCGGCGGACGGGUGAGUAAUGCCUAGGAAUCUGCCUGGUAGUGGGGGAUAACGUCUGGAAACGGGCGCUAAUACCGCAUACGUCCUGAGGGAGCAAGUGGGGGAUCUUCGGACCUCACGCUAUCAGAUGAGCCUAGGUCGGAGUAGCUAGUUGGUGGGGUAAAGGCCUACCAAGGCGACGAUCCGUAACUGGUCUGAGAGGAUGAUCAGUCACACUGGAACGGGGACACGGUCCAGGGUCCUACGGGAGGCAGCAGUGGGGAAUAUGGGACAGUGGGCGAGAGCCUGAUCCAGCCAUGCCGCGUGUGUGAAGAAGGUCUUCGGAUUGUAAAGCACUUUAAGUUGGGAGGAAGGGCAGUAAGUUAAUACCUUGCUGUUUUGACGUUACCAACAGAAUAAGCACCGGCUAACUUCGUG
rnacentral:rRNA from 1 species